rnacentral:rRNA from 1 species
AUUGAACGCUAGCGGCAGGCCUUACACAUGCAAGUCGAACGAGCGGCGGACGGGUGAGUAAUGUAUGGGGAUGUGCCCGCUAGCGGGGGAUAACUACUGGAAACUGUUGCUAAUACCGCAUACUAUUGGAUCAUCCCAUAUGGGAUUAGCUAGUUGGUGGGGUAAAGGCUCACCUAGGCAACGAUCCGUAGCUGGUUUGAGAGGAUGACCAGCUACACUGGGACUGAGACACGGCCCAGACUCCUACGGGAGGCAGCAGUGGGGAAUAUUGCACAAUGGGCGAAAGCCUGAUGCAGCCAGGCCGCGUUGAUGAUGAAGGCCGUCGGGUUGUAAAGUACUUUCAGCGGGGAGGCGGUACCUGCAGAAGAAGCACCGGCUAACUACGUGCCAGCAGCCGCGGUAAUUC